UAAACAUGAGCAGCAUAAUAAAAAUAAAAGAAUAAAAAUUUUGUAAAUAAACGAUUCGUUACAGUUAGAUAAUUGUUUUCAUUCGUGAUAAACAUCUGGAAAGCAAGUGUUGUUUCGCGUUUUUUAUUUCUUAUAUAAAAAAAAAUAAUAAUUUAAAAAACGAAGAAGAGAAAGGGUAGAACUGAAGAAGAAGAAGAAGAAAAAGAAGAAGCAAUUAGACUCGGUGGGAGUGUCUGAUGCAUAUCAUCAUCUUCCCUUACUCUCCGAGGUUAAAACCUGUGGAGGGGCAUAAGUUCCUACUUCUUCAGCUUCUAGAUCCUACUACAUCAGCCUUAACGUCUAAGCGUCGCAGUUAUCCACUGGAAGUCAUCAGAACUGCUGUCUUUUUCGUUCAUUCAUUUUAUUUAUUCUUUUUCUUUUCAACUUUUAAAUUGUUUGAUAAAAAUUUUUUUUCUUCACUGAUGCGUCUCAUAUAAAAAGUGUAAAAAAUUUUUAAACACUUGACAGUGGAUUAAGUGAGUGAAAGACAAUAGUAUAAAGUGACGUGUGUUUGACAGUUGAACAAGUGGAAUUCGUAAAAAAAAAAUUCAAGUAUUUCUUGGCCGUCUUCAAUCAGAUCUGGACAAAAAUUUUUAAACUCACAGUCUGACUGAAGUACGGCCAGUUUUGAACUGGAUACUUGUUUAAUUAAUCUUAAAAAAAUUAUUGUGAAGGUGGCCCAAGUUGUUUGUUUAUUUUUUUAAAAAUGAAAAAAUCGCUGUCGUGAUUUUUCAACAACACUAAACUUUACAAUUAAUAAUUAUUUAUAUAAUUUAUAUAUUAAAAAUAAUUUUAAUAUUUAUUAUAAAAUUAGCUCUAAGUACUCUAAUUAAAAUUAAUGUAUAAAACCUUAGGUUUAAUAAUAUUUACUAAAAUUAAAUAAUAUAAUUUGAAUAAUUUAUUAAUUAUUAAAAUAAUAAUGUACAUUUGUUGUUAAAUAAAUAAAUUUUAAUACUUUUCAUAAAUCAAUUCCUGAAGAAUUAACAAUCAUCAUUUGUUGUUAAAAUUAAUUAAUAUCAUGAACUAACUAAAAUAAAUUUAAAAGUAAUCCCUCAUAAAUUAUUGUAAUCUCUCCACGUUUCAGGCUUUUAAUCUUUAGCUCAUGCGAUAAAGCUCUCACGUCUGUAGUCUUGAGAGUCUUGAGGAAGAAUUGACCGCAGCCGAGAAUAUCAUCAUCUAUUCCCUCCAGAGACACAGAUAAAGAGAAAGAUAGAGUGAGAGAGUACGCUGACAUGUGUGUCUACUUAUUUCUGGACUACUGAAUCACCGAAACCCAGCCGGGGCUUUUCCGAAAUAGGUUCGCGAGCUUCUCUCCUUUACUCUUUUCAUCCACCUCCGCCCCCUCUCACACCUUCUUCACCUUCUCUCCACAAGCUUUUCAUCAGUGUCUUCAAUCACGUCCAAUUAUACAACGUCUGCACUUUAAUACGCCAGUGUAAUCGACUCAUCGGACACAAUUUAAACAUACCAUUCCUACGUCACGAUCUCAAUCGUCUUCAGGUGGUCGCUACCAAGGUCAUCGAUGUCUUUCGAAAAACAACUCCCAGGGGUAGCAUAAUUAUUUUGUAAGAGUUAUUAAUAAGAAUUUAAAAUAAAUACAAGAGAGAAAGAGUGGGAAGAAAUACAAGUUAUUUAUCAACCUUGACAGAGUAUAAACAUUAAUUCUUUUUUUCUUUAGAUACAACAAAUUUUUAUUCAAGAUUUUACAGCGCGAUUUAUAACGGCGGGUCAGGUACAAUACGAAAGAAAUAAACACGCACUGGUAUUAGGGGAGUCAGAGAGCGUGAAGACAUGUGCCCAUUGUGCGUAAAUAUUCUGCUGCUUUAACUGCUGCAUCCAGCCAAGACGUAAACUUUUCUCGUAUUCAUUAUGAGUUAUUAUUGUUCUCCUUUUAUUUUUUUUCCAAUUAAAAAAAAGUAUAAAGAAGUAAAUAAUUACAACAGGAGGUUUUUAUGAAACAUCUGAGGGCUCUUGAGGUGCUUGCCGUCUUGAGCGCAGCCAAAUAUAGAUGGGUAAUGUAAUACACGUCACGCGGGCAGAAAUAGCAUAAGAUGAGAAGCUAAGCCUAGCUACAAGUGCACACGGCACGUACACUACAAGCCGGGUACUUCAGUUUACGGUAUACGAUAUAAUACGUCUGAAUUACGAGAUACUUCGUGGAAUUUUUUUUUUUACUACAGUAUUUACAAAAGAAGAUGAUAAAAGAAGAAAUAUUAAGUUCAGAAUAUAAAGUUGUCUUUGGAGUUUAGAGAAGAUUAAAUUUAAUAAUGACUGGAGGUUUUUUUUAUUUUUUUUUAUUUUUGUAAAGUCUUCACCUUAACUCUUUCUCUCUUAUUUAUAUUCAUUUAAUUUUUGUUGUUGUUGUUGUUGUUGUUGUUGUGGAACAUAAUAUCUUGGAGUGACGCCAACAUGUUGACAAUGUAACGAUGCAGUAGUAAAUGAGUGUUGCGGUUUAAAAAUUUGUUGAGAUACGAGUUAUGAACAAACUUUAAUUUAUAAAUAUAUAAUCUAUAUAUUUAUAUCUAUGUCUAUGUCUAUGUCUAUAUCUAUAUCUAUGUAUGUAUAUAUAAAUUUGUUUAUGUUUUAUUAUUGCACAAAGCAUAUUUUUAUUUGGAUAAUUCCAUUGUGUACAGAAAUAAAUAUUUGUAUGUAUUAAUUAGUUUAUUAAUUAUUAAAACUCAUUAUUACUAAAUAUAUAAACCCGAUUUUUUAUAUUUUAUUCAUAUGAAUCUUAAUAUUAGAUUCAUAUUGAUUUUUUUUUUAUAAUAAAUAAUUAUUAAUUAAAAUAUCAUUCAGAUGUAUACGACUAAAAAUAUAUAUGUUGUUAAAUGACUUAAAACUUUUGUUUUUCUUAUUGUAAUUAAUGUGUUUUCUUCUCAAGCUUCACAUAUAUUUAACUUUUUAUAGUUAUCCAACAUUUCGUAAUAUUUUUUUUCUCAACAAGUUAAAAGACAAGAAAUAAAAUUUAAUUUGAUCUUGAGUAUUUACGUCUCGCUAUUUUUAUUUCUUCAAAUUUCAACUAGUUGACAAAAAAGUUAACAGUCAUAUUUUUUUUAAAUAUAUCAGAGCACCAUUUUCAUUUUCAUUUUAUUAAACUUGGACCACCCUCUUGUUUUCUUUUCCUUCUAGUUUUUUUUUUUUUUUAUUUUAUAAUGAGUUAGUUGUUAAUAAAUAAUUUAGAAAAAAAAAUAUCAACUGCCCGACGCGUCUUUAAUUUAUCGUCAAACGACUAGUAUAAUUU